rnacentral:misc_RNA from 1 species
GAUGAAGAACGUAGCGAAAUGCGAUAAGUAAUGUGAAUUGCAGAAUUCAGUGAAUCAUCGAAUCUUUGAACGCACAUUGCGCCCCCUGGCAUUCCGGGGGGCACGCCUGUCCGAGCGCCAUUUCAACCCUCAAGCCCCGCUUGGUGAUGGGACCCGCCUGCGGGCGGUCCCGAAACUCGUGGGCGCCGAAGGCCGGCUCCGAGCGUAGCAAAACCCUCGCUCAGGAACCCCGGUCGGCGGUCGCCCCGGACCCCAAACAUUAUCACAAGGUUGGCCUCGGAUCAGGAGGGGAUACCCGCUGAACUUAAGCAUAUCAAUAAGCCGGAGGA